UUGACUGAUCAGGACUCCUCAGGUCACCUUCUCACAAUGAGGCUCCCUGCUCAGCUCCUGGGACUGCUAAUGCUCUGGCUCCCUGGAUCCAGUGGGGAUAUUGUGAUGACCCAGACUCCACUAUCCCUGCCCGUCACCCCUGGAGAGCCGGCCUCCAUCUCCUGCAGGUCUAGUCAGAGCCUCUUGGAUAGUGACGGGUACACCUGUUUGGACUGGUACCUGCAGAAGCCAGGCCAGUCUCCACAGCUCCUGAUCUAUGAGGUUUCCAACCGGGUCUCUGGAGUCCCUGACAGGUUCAGUGGCAGUGGGUCAGGCACUGAUUUCACACUGAAAAUCAGCCGGGUGGAAGCUGAGGAUGUUGGGGUGUAUUACUGUAUGCAAAGUAUAGAGUUUCCUCCCACAGUGGUACAUUCUGAAACAGAAACCUCCCUGCUGGGGUGUCCCAGCUGCCCCAUAGGCUGCUUGUCUGGGGAGCAGCUCGGCAGGGUCUCUGAGACUGCAAAAGAGGAGGCUGUUGGAGAAUACAGGACUCUGGCCCAUGAGAGCCUCAGCUGUGUUUUAGUCCCACGUGUUAAGGCCCCAUCAGCUGCCACAGGUGGCCACGUGCUCUGGGAGCAACCAGCUCUGAUGAAGGGAGAGUGA